CCUACGGGUGGCAGCAGUGAGGAAUAUUGGUCAAUGGCCGUAAGGCUGAACCAGCCAAGUCGCGUGAAGGAAGAAGGAUCUAUGGUUUGUAAACUUCUUUUAUAGGGGAAUAAAGGUAUCCACGUGUGGAUAUUUUCAUGUACCCUAUUAAUAAGCAUCGUCUAACUCCGUGCCAGCAGCCCCGGUAAUACGGAGGAUGCGAGCGUUAUCCGGAUUUAUUGGGUUUAAAGGGUGCGUAGGUGGUUUUUUAAGUCAGCGGUGAAAGUUUGUGGCUCAACCAUAAAAUUGCCGUUGAAACUGGGAGACUUGAGGGUGUUUGAGGGAGGCGGAAUGCGAGGUGUAGCGGUGGAAUGCAUAGAUAUCACGAAGAACUCCGAUUGCGAAGGCAGCUUACUAAGCCAUAACUGACACUGAGGCACGAAAGCGUGGGGAUCAAACAGGAUUAGAUACCCUGGUAGUC
rnacentral:rRNA from 1 species